GCCUGCGACCAUACCACGUAGAAUGCUCCCGAUCCCGUUCGAUCUCGGAAGAUAAGCUGCGUCGGGCCAGGGGGGGGGUUAGUACUUAGAUGCGGUGACCGCUUGGGAACACCGGGUUUGCAGCAUGUC
rnacentral:rRNA from 1 species